rnacentral:rRNA from 1 species
GAUUAGAUAGUUGGUGAGGUAACGGCUCACCAAGUCUGCGAUCUUUAGGGGGCCUGAGAGGGUGAUCCCUCACACUGGUACUGAGACACGGACCAGACUCCUACGGGAGGCAGCAGUGAGGAAUAUUGGACAAUGGGUGCGAGCCUGAUCCAGCCAUCCCGCGUGAAGAACGACGGCCCUAUGGGUUGUAAACUUCUUUUGUAUAGGGAUAAACCUAGAUACGUGUAUCUAGCUGAAGGUACUAUACGAAUAAGCACCGGCUAACUCCGUGCCAGCAGCCGCGGUAAUACGGAGGGUGCAAGCGUUAUCCGGAUUUAUUGGGUUUAAAGGGUCCGUAGGCGGAUUUGUAAGUCAGUGGUGAAAUCUCACAGCUUAACUGUGAAACUGCCAUUGAUACUGCAGGUCUUGAGUGUUGUUGAAGUAGCUGGAAUAAGUAGUGUAGCGGUGAAAUGCAUAGAUAUUACUUAGAACACCAAUUGCGAAGGCAGGUUACUAAGCAACAACUGACGCUGAUGGACGA